GUGCAGCAGGCGAGAAUACUCCACAAUGCGCGAAAGCGCGAUGGGGCUAUCCCGAGUGCCGUCCGCUGAGGAUGGCUUUUCUCCAGUGUAAGGAGCUGGAGGAAUAAGGAGAGGGCAAGUCUGGUGUCAGCCGCCGCGGUAAUACCAGCUCUCCGAGUGGUAGGGACGUUUAUUGGGCUUAAAGCGUCCGUAGCCGGCUCAACAAGUCCUCCGUUAAAUCCAGCGGUUCAAUCGUUGGACUGCGGGGGAUACUGUUGGGCUAGGGGACGGGAGAGGCCGACGGUAUUCCCGGAGUAGGGGUGAAAUCCUAUAAUUCCGGGAGGACCACCAGUGGCGAAGGCUGUCGGCUAGAACGAGCUCGACGGUGAGGGACGAAAGCUGGGGGAGCGAACCGGAUUAGAUACCCCUGUAGU
rnacentral:rRNA from 1 species